CAUGCACGAAAGUGUGAUAAGGAAACUCCGAGUGCUCUUGGGAAACCAAGGGCUUUUGUCAAGUGUAGAUAGCUUGAUGAAUAAGGACUGGGUAAUACCCGUGCCASCCGCCGCGGUAAUACGGGAAGUCCRAGUGGUGCCCGCGAAUAUKGGGCUUAAAGCGUUCGUASCUGGUCUUGAAAGUCUUUGGUGAAAGCCCAUAGCUUAACUAUGGGAAGUGCUAARGAUACUUCGAGACUUGGAGGCGGGAGAGGUCAGAGGUACUUUUAGGGUAGCGGUAAAAUGUGUUAAUCCUUAAAGGACCACCGGUAGCGAAGGCGUCUGACUAGAACGCGCUCGACAGUGAGGAACGAAGGCUAGGGGAGCAACCUGGAUUAGAUACCCAGUUAGUCCUAGCAGUAAAUUAUGCAAACUAGGUGUCAAACAACCCACGUGGUUGUAUGGUGCCGAAGAGAAAUCGUUAAGUUUGCCGCCUGGGGAGUACGGUCGCAAGACUGAAACUUAAAGGAAUUGCGGGGGGGAACAC
rnacentral:rRNA from 1 species